rnacentral:rRNA from 1 species
AUACGUAGGGGGCGAGCGUUGUCCGGAAUGAUUGGGCGUAAAGGGCGCGUAGGCGGCUUUGCAAGUCAGUAGUGGAAGUCCAUUUUUCAAGGAUGGAAGUGCUACAGAAACUGCGGAGCUUGAGUGCAGGAGAGGUUAUCGGAAUUCCCGGUGUAGCGGUGAAAUGCGUAGAGAUCGGGAGGAACACCAGUGGCGAAGGCGGGUAACUGGACUGCAACUGACGCUGAGGCGCGAAAGUGUGGGGAGCAAACAGGAUUAGAUACCCUGGUAGUCCACGCUGUAAACUAUGAUAACUAUCUUUUAGCGAUACACAGUUAGAGGGUACGAGAAAUCAUUAAGUUAUCCACCUGGGGAUUACGUUCGCAAGAAUGAAACUCAAAGGAAUUGACGGGG